GACGGGGGGGGCAAGUGUUCUUCGGAAUGACUGGGCGUAAAGGGCACGUAGGCGGUGAAUCGGGUUGAAAGUGAAAGUCGCCAAAAAGUGGCGGAAUGCUCUCGAAACCAAUUCACUUGAGUGAGACAGAGGAGAGUGGAAUUUCGUGUGUAGGGGUGAAAUCCGUAAAUAUACGAAGGAACGCCAAAAGCGAAGGCAGCUCUCUGGGACGGUACUGACGCUGAGACGCGAAAGCGUGGGGAGCAAACAGG
rnacentral:rRNA from 1 species